GACAGAGGGUGCAAACGUUGUUCGGAUUUACUGGGCGUAAAGCGCGUGUAGGCGGCUUUGCAAGUCGGAUGUGAAAUCCCACGGCUCAACCGUGGAAGUGCAUCUGAAACUGCAUCGCUGGAGUCUCGGAGAGGAAGGUGGAAUGCUUGGUGUAGAGGUGAAAUUCGUAGAUAUCAAGCAGAACACCUGCGGCGAAGGCGGCCUUCUGGACGAUGACUGACGCUGAGACGCGAAAGCGUGGGGAGCAAACAGG
rnacentral:rRNA from 1 species